CUAGCCCUAAACGAUGGGUACUAGAUUGUGGACUUAACAUGGGUUCACAGUCGAAGCUAAAGUGUUAAGUACCCCGCCUGGGGAGNGGGCUUGACAUGUGCGAAAGCGCGGGGAAGUAGGGAGCGGAAACGUUUCCCCAACGGUAUCCAGUCCGGAACCUCGUACAGGUGC
rnacentral:rRNA from 1 species